CUGCGGCGGUUCCCUCAAAAAAAAAAAAAAAAAAAGAGAACGGCGGCGGCGGCGCGGUAGGCGAUGCACUCCCCUGGCGGCAAUGGCGACACGGCGGCCGUGCUCCGGUGCAGCCUCGCCGGAUGGGAAUGGUGGGGUUCGGGGGGGCCGCGUGGUGCGCGGCGGACACGUGAGCGACGCCGCAGUGCUGGUAGCGCGUAGGGCGUCAGCACGGGCGAGGUUGCAGAGAGCGGUGGCGCUGCGGCGCGAGUUCGAGAAGGGUUGCGCCAUGCUGACCGUGCGCCUGCGGCAGGUCGUCGAGACGAGAUGCACGCCGACCUCUCGUCCGAUGACGGCAGAAAGCUCAAGACACUCCCCAACGUGUAUGAGUAACAAUUAGAAGUUAUACUCGCGCAGAUGGGCCUGAAAAAUUCCGUACUGGAGAGUACAAGAUUAUCAGAUGGACCUGAAAAAUUCGGUAUAGCUGUGUGGAAGGCAAAUUCUGAGCCAAAGGAUAGCGUGUGAAUGACAAGGUCACCGGCUAGCCAGGUCAUGGGACAGCAAGUGAUUCGUGAAGGCCAAAGGCAAUCGGAAAGAUCCAGUCAUCCAACCGGGCAACCGGUUGCCGCCGGUCACUGAGAAAUGUACAUGAGAGAGAGAAAAGAGGACUCUCUAGUUUUACUUCCAAGGAAAAUGCUCCAUCCGAUUCUAAAUUGUUGUCGAAAUAUUACAUGUAUCUAGACGUUUUUUAAGAAUAAAUACAUCCAUAUUUGAACACAUUUGA